rnacentral:lncRNA from 1 species
GCAGCAACCAGCUGGCGUCCCCCUUCUGCAAUGUCGAAGCUUUGUUCUUUUGCUCCUUGCAGUAACUCUUGCUGCUGCUCACUGUUUGGGUCUGCGCUACCUUUAUGAGCUGUAACACUCAUCUUGAAGGUCUGCAGGUUCACUCCUGAAGCCAACGAGACUAUGAACCCACCGGGAGGGAGGAACAACUCCGGAUGGAAGGAAAGAACAACUCCAGACACACUGCCUUUGAGAGCUGCAAUGCUCACCAUAAAGGUCUGCAGCUUCACUCCUGAAGCCACCGAGACCACGAAUCCACCAGAAGGAAGAAACUGUGGACACGUCCAAACAUCAGAAGUAACAAACUCCGGACACACCAUCUUUAAGAGCUGUAACACUCACCGCAAGGGUCUGCAGCUUCAUUCUUGAAGUCAGGGAGACCAAGAACCCACCAAUUCUGGACACAAUGUUUGGAGGAUGUUCACUAUCCUGAAAACAGGGACUGGACUCUUACUUCCUAUUUAUUAUGGCCCACCAUGAUCUCUGCAAUACGUGCAUGGAGCCUAAGUUAAAGCCUGAAAAAACAGCUAGGCAUGGUGGCAUGCACCUAUAGUCUGAGCUACUCAGGAGGCUGAAGUGGGAGGAUUGCUUGAGUACAGGAGUUCAAGGCUGCAGUAUGCUAUGAUCACAUCUAUGAACAGCCACUGUAUUCCAGCCUGGGCAACAUAGCUAGACCCUAUCUUAUUUAAAAAAGAAAAGAAAGGAAAAAAAGCUGGAAAAAAAUAAAAGGAAGUGCUGCAUGACACUAUUCAGGGAGAUGAGGUUAAUAGUUUUUAAGCAUGUGGUUUUCAUCCUAUUUUAUACCUUACUAUAAGGUAUAAAAGUAGAAAUAGGGACCUUGUAGAUCCAGUACUGACUUGGCAGAUAAGAGGAGAAAGCAGUCCAGAGGAGAAACCCUACUCAACGAGG